rnacentral:tRNA from 1 species
GGCCCGUAGCUCAACCUGGACAGAGCGCUCGGCUUCGGACCGAGAGGUUGGGGGUUCGAAUAGCCCUUUCGCUUGCCA